ensembl:lncRNA
CAAACUGACAUCACUUCAAUGUAUAGCGGGGAAAAAAACUAUAAAAUCUAUUAUGGGAUAUUCUUCUGAGAACUUGUUCUGUCCGACAGUGUAAUUUUUGCACAAUGACGUUCCCUUAAGCCGGGUGCACACUGCGCUAUUUUUAAUAGUCCUUUGUAACUGUUGCUUGUCAGACUGUACGAGCACGAUCCCCACUGUAAGCCAUGUCACACUGUCGGAUCAGUUGUCAUUAAUGUCAGACUGUACGACAGUCAAGACAUGAAAAACGGACGCAGGCAAGAAAACUCGUAUGGAGUAGGAGAAGCAACACUACAGGACUGUGCCUCAAAUCUUCGGACACUGCCAGAAUUUAAUCGGAGGAAAAAUUUGAUCGCAAAGGCCAUUAAUCGGCUGACGGGGAACGCGUCAAACUAGUGAUCAAAGACUACUGAUUUUGGCCUAGGAUUAUAGGAAUCUUUUAGGAUCUCAAAAUUUCAGACAACCAAACCAUGGCCAAAAUUGCACAGUGUGAACCCGGCUUUAAUUGUUUCCACUGACCAACUUUACAGGGAAAAGCACAGUAAAGGGUGGCAUUAAGGCUAGAAAAUGACCUCUUGAACCACAGAGAAAGAAGAGAUAGGAGAAAUCUAGACAACCAAACGUAACACAAAGCCAGCAUGACACUCAAACACAGGUAUGAAGUCAGUGUGAAAAACGCAAGACAGCCAGAGAACAAGUGAAGGAGGGAGAAGAAGAAACCCAGCGAGUUACGUGCUGGAUCACGACAGGGUCACGGGGAACCUGGAGCCUAUCCCAGGGAGAAUCGGGCACAAGGCUGAAAAAGGUGCACCAACUGUGGAAGACCUCCUACAUUGUUCCGGUGCCCAAGAAAGGUCAUCCCAGUACCUCAAAUAACUACAGACCUGUGGUGCUGACCUCACAUGUCAUGAAGACCUUUGAGAGACUGGUCCUGAGGCACCUGAACCUGAUCUUAAGUGACUCCCUUGAUCCACUGCAGUUUGCAUACCAGACCCAAAUCAGCGUGGAUGAGGCAAUCAUCUAUCUACUGCAUAGGG